GCUGGUGUAGGGAAAGGAAUGGGAAUGUUGAGGGGAUGGGAAGAGGCAUCAAGAACAGGAAUAUAAUUUUCCUACAGUGCUGUUCUGCUGAGACUACAGAGUACCUCAGGGAGUCAUGCAUCCUCUUCCUGUUGCUUUACUGAAUCUUAAAGAGUGAUACAGUACUAAUGAUGCCAUUCUAGCAACUGGAGCAGCUUCAGGGGAGAGAGCACAUUAAGGGUGCUGGGAUGGUAAUGGUUGGGAGGAAGCUGAAUGGUAGUAAGAGAGACAUUCUGUCCUGAGAACUCUGAUCCACUUGAUGCAGAUGAGCAGGUAACCAUGGAAGUCGUGAGCUGAGGCUGCAGAGUCUAGAGCCAGAGUGUGGAAUAAACUUGGGUCUCAAAUCACCCCUGGAGCAAAGCACCCAUCUAAUCAGGAACUUCUACUUUCAACUUUACAUGCGUGAGAAAUGAACUUCUAUCAUGUUAGAGAAAUCCUUACACGGCGCCCUUGAGAGCUUUCAUACUGCAAGUCAUCCAUUUUCCUCCCCUCAAACCUGGCAUCGG
rnacentral:lncRNA from 1 species